UCAAGGUGACAGCUGUCAGUCACGAGGAGAAGAUUGGUUUGAAAUUUUCACAUCAAAUUUGUCAGAGAAGAACAACAAAGCAUUAACGGAUGAUGCCAACGAUGACACUUUGCCUGCUGUUGUGGGUUCUUGGUACUGGAGUUAUUUUAUCAGAGGGAGAUGAUCCACCUUUUGAUGAUGAAGAUUAUAGUUAUUUUUUUACUUCUGGCGAAAUAAAUUCAACCUUAAUAAUAAAUGACACUGAACUGCUGGCCUCUCUACUGUCAGAUUUUGGCAGUGGUGAAAUUCCAGAAAAAGACACGACAGGCUCCUCAGCUCCCAGAAACCAUGGACUGAAAACAACUGGUGCUGAAAAUGCUGACCUCUGUUCCCUUGGCCUGAGCUAUGUUCUUUUAGCUUUGUGUAUGCUAGUAUAAAAAAAGUUUGUUUGUUUUUUCUUUUGAAAAGUGUGAGCUGCUUGUAAAUACACAGGAAAC